ensembl:rRNA 5S_rRNA 5S ribosomal RNA
UGGCCAUACCACCCUGAGUGCACCCAAUCUUGCCAAUCUUGGAAGUUAAUCGGUGUCGGGUCUGAUUAGUCCUUGGGUGGGAGAAAGCAAAGCCAUCUUAU